UGGCGUAAAGGUUCGUAGGUGGGCGGCAAGUUGGAAGGGAAUCUUUGGGCUUAACCCAGAGGCUGCUUUCAAAACUGCCGUGCUCGAGUGCGAGAGAGGUCAGUGGAAUUGCAGGUGUAGCGGUGAAAUGCGUAGAUAUCUGCAGGAACACCCGUGGCGAAGGCGGCUGACUGGAUCGCAACUGACACUGAGGAACGAAAGCUAGGGGAGCAAACAGGAUUAGAUACCCUGGUAGUCCUAGCCCUAAACCAUCAGAACUUGGGGUGGCCCGCGUAGGCGGGUCGUCCCGUAGCUAACGCGUUAAGUUCUGCGCCUGGGGAGUACGGUCGCAAGACUGAAACUCAAAGGAAUUGACGGGGGCCCGCACAAGCGGUGGAACAUGUGGUUCAAUUCGACGCAACGCGAAGAACCUUACCUGGGCUUGAACCGCUACUGACCAAGGGUAGAAAUAUCCUCUUCCCGCAAGGGACAGUAGUAGAGGUGCUGCAUGGCUGUCGUCAGCUCGUGCCGUGAGGUGUUGGGUUAAGUCCCGCAACGAGCGCAACCCUUACUCGUAGUUGCCACCCGCAAGGGGGAACUCUACGAGGACUGCUCCGGAUAACGGAGAGGAAGGUGGGGAUGACGUCAAGUCAGCACGGCCUUUAUGUCCAGGGCUACACACGUGUUACAAUGCAUGGUACAGACUGUUGCGAACCCGCGAGGGGGAGCUAAUCGGACAAAGCCAUGCUCAGUUCGGAUUGCAGUCUGCAACUCGGCUGCAUGAAGCUGGAAUCGCUAGUAAUGGCGUAUCAGAUCGACGCCGUGAAUACGUUCCCGGGCCUUGUACACACCGCCCGUCACAUCACGAAAGUGAGCUGUACUAGAAGUCGCCGAGCCAACCGUAAGGAGGCCAGCGCCCAAGGUAUGGCCCAUGAUUGGGGUGAAGUCGUAACAAGGUAACC
rnacentral:rRNA from 1 species